rnacentral:rRNA from 1 species
UACGAAGGGGGCUAGCGUUGUUCGGAAUUACUGGGCGUAAAGCGCGUGUAGGCGGGUCCUUAAGUCAGGGGUGAAAUGCCAAGGCUCAACCUUGGAACUGCCUUUGAUACUGGCGAUCUCGAGUCCGGGAGAGGUGAGUGGAACUGCGAGUGUAGAGGUGAAAUUCGUAGAUAUUCGCAAGAACACCAGUGGCGAAGGCGGCUCACUGGCCCGGUACUGACGCUGAGGUGCGAAAGCGUGGGGAGCAAACAGG